rnacentral:rRNA from 1 species
CGCUGGCGGCGUGCUUAACACAUGCAAGUCGAGCGGAAAGGCCCUUCGGGGUACUCGAGCGGCGAACGGGUGAGUAACACGUGAGUAACCUGCCCCUGACUCUGGGAUAAGCCCGGGAAACUGGGUCUAAUACCGGAUAUGACACAUGUCGGCAUCGAUGGUGUGUGGAAAGUUUUUUCGGUUGGGGAUGGACUCGCGGCCUAUCAGCUUGUUGGUGGGGUAAUGGCCUACCAAGGCGACGACGGGUAGCCGGCCUGAGAGGGCGACCGGCCACACUGGGACUGAGACACGGCCCAGACUCCUACGGGAGGCAGCAGUGGGGAAUAUUGCGCAAUGGGCGAAAGCCUGACGCAGCGACGCCGCGUGGGGGAUGACGGCCUUCGGGUUGUAAACCUCUUUCAGCAGGGACGAAGUUGACGUGUACCUGCAGAAGAAGCGCCGGCUAACUACGUGCCAGCAGCCGCGGUAAUACGUAGGGCGCAAGCGUUGUCCGGAAUUAUUGGGCGUAAAGAGCUCGUAGGUGGCUUGUCACGUCGGGUGUGAAAGCUUGGGGCUUAACUCCAGGUCUGCAUUCGAUACGGGCUGGCUAGAGGUAGGUAGGGGAGAACGGAAUUCCUGGUGUAGCGGUGAAAUGCGCAGAUAUCAGGAGGAACACCGGUGGCGAAGGCGGUUCUCUGGGCCUUACCUGACGCUGAGGAGCGAAAGCGUGGGGAGCGAACAGGAUUAGAUACCCUGGUAGUCCACGCUGUAAACGUUGGGCGCUAGGUGUGGGGACCUUCCACGGUUUCCGCGCCGUAGC